GUGCCGUAAACUCGGCGCCGUUGGAGCGUGGAAAAAGAAAUAAAGACCUGGCUGGAAUCACAACCUCCAUCCCCAAACACCCGGAUGCUGGAGUUGUAGCCAGCCCCACCCCGGAGCGGUUUCCUACUGAUAAGGGCAGGAGGCAAAGCCAGCAUCCCUCGGGAAGCAAACCCAGCAUCCCUCGGAAAACACGGCAGGCUUUCCUCCCCAGCACGUGCCACUCGCAGUCGCCCACCGCGGCCAUCGGCACCCACCCCUAGAGCCUAAAUCUGGUGAUUUCUCAACUUCAGCAGCCCAAUUCCCAAAGGCCCCUUGGUUCCGGCACGGUUAUCCCUGCCGGAUUCCCCGGCAGCAGGAAAUUUCCCCAUCAUCUGACUCACUGAAGCUUUAGAGGACAUGGGUAUGAGGGCUGUCGUAA